AUGAACGCUAGCUACAGGCUUAACACAUGCAAGUCGAGGGGCAGCAUGGUCUUAGCUUGCUAAGGCCGAUGGCGACCGGCGCACGGGUGAGUAACACGUAUCCAACCUGCCGUCUACUCUUGGACAGCCUUCUGAAAGGAAGAUUAAUACAAGAUGGCAUCAUGAGUCCGCAUGUUCACAUGAUUAAAGGUAUUCCGGUAGACGAUGGGGAUGCGUUCCAUUAGAUAGUAGGCGGGGUAACGGCCCACCUAGUCUUCGAUGGAUAGGGGUUCUGAGAGGAAGGUCCCCCACAUUGGAACUGAGACACGGUCCAAACUCCUACGGGAGGCAGCAGUGAGGAAUAUUGGUCAAUGGGCGAGAGCCUGAACCAGCCAAGUAGCGUGAAGGAUGACUGCCCUAUGGGUUGUAAACUUCUUUUAUAAAGGAAUAAAGUCGGGUAUGGAUACCCGUUUGCAUGUACUUUAUGAAUAAGGAUCGGCUAACUCCGUGCCAGCAGCCGCGGUAAUACGGAGGAUCCGAGCGUUAUCCGGAUUUAUUGGGUUUAAAGGGAGCGUAGAUGGAUGUUUAAGUCAGUUGUGAAAGUUUGCGGCUCAACCGUAAAAUUGCAGUUGAUACUGGAUAUCUUGAGUGCAGUUGAGGCAGGCGGAAUUCGUGGUGUAGCGGUGAAAUGCUUAGAUAUCACGAAGAACUCCGAUUGCGAAGGCAGCCUGCUAAGCUGCAACUGACAUUGAGGCUCGAAAGUGUGGGUAUCAAACAGGAUUAGAUACCCUGGUAGUCCACACGGUAAACGAUGAAUACUCGCUGUUUGCGAUAUACUGCAAGCGGCCAAGCGAAAGCGUUAAGUAUUCCACCUGGGGAGUACGCCGGCAACGGUGAAACUCAAAGGAAUUGACGGGGGCCCGCACAAGCGGUGGAGCAUGUGGUUUAAUUCGAAGCAACGCGAAGAACCUUACCAGGUCUUGACAUCGAUCUAAAGGCUCCAGAGAUGGAGAGAUAGCUAUAGAGAAGACAGGUGGUGCAUGGUUGUCGUCAGCUCGUGCCGUGAGGUGUCGGCUUAAGUGCCAUAACGAGCGCAACCCUUGUUGUCAGUUACUAACAGGUUCCGCUGAGGACUCUGACAAGACUGCCAUCGUAAGAUGUGAGGAAGGUGGGGAUGACGUCAAAUCAGCACGGCCCUUACGUCCGGGGCUACACACGUGUUACAAUGGGGGGUACAGAGGGCCGCUACCAUGCGAGUGGAUGCCAAUCCCAAAAACCUCUCUCAGUUCGGACUGGAGUCUGCAACCCGACUCCACGAAGCUGGAUUCGCUAGUAAUCGCGCAUCAGCCACGGCGCGGUGAAUACGUUCCCGGGCCUUGUACACACCGCCCGUCAAGCCAUGGGAGCCGGGGGUACCUGAAGUGCGUAACCGCGAGGAGCGCCCUAGGGUAAAACUGGUGACUGGGGCU
rnacentral:rRNA from 1 species